rnacentral:rRNA from 1 species
AUUGAUCAUGGCUCAGGACGAACGCUGGCGGCGUGCCUAAUGCAUGCAAGUCGAGCGCAUAUUGGGGCUUGCCCCGAUAUGACGGAGCGGCGAACGGGUGAGUAACACGUGAGCAACCUGCCCAAGACCGGGAUAGCCCGAGGAAACUCGGAUUAAUACCGGAUGCCUAGCACCACCGCAUGGCGGAGUGAAGAAAAGCUUUUGCGCUUUGGGAUGGGCUCGCGGCCUAUCAGCUAGUUGGUGAGGUAACGGCUCACCAAGGCAUCGACGGGUAGCUGGUCUGAGAGGACGAUCAGCCACACUGGAACUGAGACACGGUCCAGACUCCUACGGGAGGCAGCAGCAGGGAAUAUUGCACAAUGGGCGAACUAUGAUGCAGCAACGCCGCGUGAGGGAUGACGGCCUUCGGGUUGUAAACCUCUUUCAGGAGGAGAAUUGACGGUACCUCCAAAAGCCCCGGCUAACUACGUGCCAGCAGCCGCGGUAAUACGUAGGACUCGAGCGUUGUCCGGAUUUAUUGGGCGUAAAGAGCUCGUAGGCGGCUCAGUAAGUCGGCUGUGAAAGUCCGAGGCUCAACCUCGGAACUGCAGUCGAUACUGCUGUGGCUAGAGUCAGGUAGAGGAGAAUGGAAUAGUGGUGUAGCGGUGGAAUGCGCAGAUAUCGGGAGGAACACCAGUAGCGAAGGCGGUUCUCACAGCCUGUACUGACGCUGAGGAGCGAAAGCGUGGGGAGCAAACAGGAUUAGAUACCCUGGUAGUCCACGCCGUAAACGUUGGGUACUAGGUGUGGCGAUCGGACUAACGAUUGCCGUGCCGAAGCUAACGCAUUAAGUACCCCGCCUGGGGAGUACGGCCGCAAGGCUAGUCCUCAAAGGAAUUGACGGGUCCCCGCACAAGCGGCGGAGCAUGCGGCUUAAUUCGAUGCAACCCGAAGAACCUUACCUGGACUUGACAUCAUGGGAAUCGCCGUGGAAACACGGUGUGCAUUAGCGUCCAUGACAGGUGGUGCAUGGCUGUCACGAGCUCGUCGUGAGAUGUUGGGUUAAGUCCCGCAACGAGCGCAACCCUUGUCCUAUGUUGCUCGCGGUUCGGCCGGACUCAUGGGAGACUGCCGGACUUAACUCGGAGGAAGGUGAGGACGACGUCAAGUCAUCAUGCCCCUUGUCCAGGGCUGCACGCAUGCUACAAUGGGCGGUACAACGGGCUGCGACCCUGCGAAGGUGAGCGAAUCCCACAAAGCCGUCCUCAGUUCGGCAAGAAGUCUGCAACUCGACUUCAUGAAGCCGGAGUCGCUAGUAAUCGUGGAUCAGCAAUGCCGCGGUGAAUGCGUUCUCGGGGAUUGUACACACCGCCUACCACGUCACGGAAGUCGGCACCGAAGUCAGUGGCCCAACCGAGAGGGGAGCUGCCGAAGGUGGGGUCGGUAACUGGGACGAAGUCGUAACAAGGUAACCA